CGUAGGUGGCAAGCGUUGUCCGGAUUUAUUGGGUUUAAAGGGUGCGUAGGCGGCUUUGUAAGUCAGUGGUGGAAUACUCCAGCUCAACUGGAGAGGUGCCAUUGAUACUGCAGAGCUAGAGUACUGAUGAGGUAGGCGGAAUGGACGGUGUAGCGGUGAAAUGCUUAGAUAUCGUCCAGAACACCGAUAGCGAAGGCAGCUUACUAAAGAGUAACUGACGCUGAGGCACGAAAGUGUGGGGAUCAAACAGGAUUAGAUACCCUGGUAGUCCACACUGUAAACGUUGAUCACUAGAUGUUGGCGAUACACUGCCAGCGUUCCAGCAAAAGCGAUAAGUGAUCCACCUGGGGAGUACGCCCGCAAGGGUG
rnacentral:rRNA from 1 species